CACCUGACCUGACCUGGAUAACCUGACCUCUCUGUCACGGUAGCCUGAAGCAGAACCGUUUGCUGAAAACUCAGUAAGAAAGAGCUGGAGAAAGCGUUUGGUAAAUGGUUCACAAAUGCAAGAGACAGAGAAGGCAACCGUGCUUUGAGAGGCCAGCGGGAUCAUGAUCGGAGGGCAGUACAGCCGGAAAUGUGUGCAGCCGAGGAAUCUGCAUAGACCCACCAGUGAACUAUUCUACUUUAGUAAUUCUGUUAUUCCUGUUUCCUGUUUUUUUACUUGAAUUAAUUUAAAUUAAAUGUGAUUUACACAUUC